GUAGUAUGAUGAUAAUUAGUAAGCAGAAAAGGGUUAAUUCUUAUUGAUCAGCAAUCGCCUGGUGAGAAAGUUAAAAGUUUAAGAUUUCACAUGUCCAAGGUGUCAAUUGGAUUCCAAUUGUGCUGGUUUACAUCAAACAUCAAAAUUUAUGCAAAUAUUUAUUCAGCCUCACUUUAGAUUCAGAGUCAACUGGCACUGAAUCGAUCACAUGGUAUUUGUUCCCCACCUGGCCCUUACGACGCGCAGCUAGAUUGGGCCGGAUCCCAGGCUAUGCACUUGUUUAGCUUCAUAACUGUUUUGAUCUGAGCGUCAUUGGCGAGUUUUAUGUAGAUGAAACACGCGUCUGGCGUAUUAAAUUAUUAGCCUGGUACUUUUGAUAACUAUUAAAUACUUUUAUUAAACAUAUGACAUUUACAUAACGUAAAUGUGACGAUUAUUUACAAAUGUAUGACAGAACGUCACACGACUAAAUUUCACAAACAAAAUGACACGGGCAAAAAGUAAUUAGCCGAAAAGAUCCCAAUUUAGUUUUAAGUUCUUUGACUGGUACUUUUGAUAACUAUUGACACCAUUUCACAAAAACUUUAAUGCAUCAGUUUUGAAAAUUCAUUAUCAGAAC
rnacentral:lncRNA from 1 species